GCUCCGGUGGCCUAGUGGUUAGAUCAUCCGUCUCUGAUGCGGGAGAUAUGGGUUCGAUUUCCGCUCGAGUCA